UUUUUUUUUUAGAGAAAGUUCACACAGCCCUUUUUUUCCUAUUCUUAUUCCUACUAAAAGAAUCUUGCUGGAUCAAAGCAGCAUCGAGUCCGGGAUCAUGUUUCCAGCACUGGGCAACCGGAUAUUUCUGAGGGAAGCCUGCAAGCAGGACAACAGUUCACUAUGUUGCUAGACCUCAGCAUCUGGUUUUCAGAGCACAAUCAACGAGCUACAAAUGGGGGACCAACUCUAGGACAAAUGUUCCUUUUAAAGAAUGAGGAUCCAAUCAAGAAUUUCCCUGGUCACUAGUUCCCAGGAAGGAUGCCUGUGGAAGCCACGUGCACAUAUUCUAAAGACAUUCUCCAUCAUUCUUCGACUGACGGAGAAAAGGGGAAACUGUUUUGUCGAAGGAAAGAAAAACUGAAGAUAGACCACCCCCUGGUUAUUGCAACCAAUACAUAGGGAUCUGUACCUUGGAGCAGAGACAACCCUUUUGUUCUACUUUCCUAUGCUUAAAAAAAAGCUAAAGCAAAAAAGGACGUGACAUGGAGAGUCUUCCCCAGUGUAGAUUGUUGCUGGUGUCAUAUUGGCAUCUAUAACUGAACUUCUUCUACACUACAGUCAGUCUGAGAUCACCCUAUGACAUCCUUGGGGAAAUUGCAAAGGUCUGCUUGAACAUGUUGGACUUUCUGAUCAGCAUGGGGAACUGGCUCUUGAAACUACAAAGAAUCUCAUUUCUACCACAGUCUUCAGGUUCUUACAGAGUCUGGGCUAAUGCUUGACAGUCAUGAUGACUCAAGGAUGGGAAAUAUGAUAACGCAAGCUGCAGUCACUGCUGCUCACUGAUACGGCGGCUGCGAGCACAGAGGGACCAAAACUAUUUCAUGUGGUUUAGGUCUGAAGAGAAGGCAAAAGGAAAUGCAGGAGGAUGACUCUUAUGGAAAUAAUUCUGACUGAGAUCAGAUCUGUGUUUUGUCUGUCAUCUGAGUUUGUGGCAAAGGUGAAGCUAUAUUAUUGGUCAUCUGCUUUGUAGGGGUGCAGGAAUAUGAAUGGAAAUCUACUGGUAGAUCUCCAUGUUACUAGAAAUUCGGUUACCAGUUGGCUUUUGGAUACAGUUCAAGAAGUUGGUGGGCUGUAGAGAGUAAGAAAAAUGACCUUGAUGGAGACAUGCAAGCUCCAUUACCAAACGCAACAAGGAGUGAAACAUAUCUUAAGUACACAACAAACAGAACAUAUUCAGAAGCGGCUCAGACAGAUACCUCCCCAAUUCACAGGAGUAUAAGAAGGGGGAGGAGGUACAGCCCAAUUAGACUUGCACAAUUCUGUUAUUAUAACUGAUCUCCAAGUAGCUUUAGCUUUAGCUUUGGAGCUGAUUUCCUGGUCUGGUCUACCUAGUGGGAUUUGGCUUGGGACCUUCAUGACUUGGGACCUGGUAUCUCCAGGACAACUUCUCCUAAUGGCCACUGCCCCCUGAUAAGAUUAAGAGGUGGGCUCUUUCUGGGUCCCUACUCUCAGGGAAUGUCAUUUACAGGGACCUUAGGAGCAGUCUUUCUUCCAUAUUGCCCCCUUCUCUGCAAUACUACCCCCUCUACAAUCAGAUUGUUACCUAUGUUUCUGGGGUUCUGUGAAGCCACCAUUGACCUGGCUGUUUCAGCCAGUUUUUGGGGCCUGAAAACUGGGAUGGUUCAUCCAAUGUUUGUUGGUGUAAUGAUUUUCCCACUGCUAACAUUUUGUGUGUGUUGGAUUGAUUAGUAUUGUUAUUGUGUCAUUGUUACUAUGGUUUUGUAUUUUCAAUUCAAGUACUGAAUGGCAUAAUUGAGGUGCUCAGAGUUAUUGUUGACUGGAAUGGCAUAUCAACUAGUAUAUAAAUAAAUAUCUAAAAUUCAUCAGCAAGGCUUUCCAGUGG